rnacentral:rRNA from 1 species
UACGAAGGGGGCUAGCGUUGCUCGGAAUUACUGGGCGUAAAGCGCACGUAGGCGGAUUGUUAAGUCGGGGGUGAAAUCCUGGAGCUCAACUCCAGAACUGCCUUCGAAACUGGCGAUCUUGAGUCCGGGAGAGGUGAGUGGAACUGCGAGUGUAGAGGUGAAAUUCGUAGAUAUUCGCAAGAACACCAGUGGCGAAGGCGGGUCUCUGGGCAACAACUGACGCUGAGGAGCGAAAGCGUGGGGAGCGAACAGG